UUGAACGCUGGCGGCAGGCCUAACACCUGCAAGUCGCACGGUAACAGGAAGAAGCUUGCUUCUUUGCUGACGAGUGGCGGACGGGUGAGUAAUGUCUGGGAAACUGCCUGAUGGAGGGGGAUAACUACUGGAAACGGUAGCUAAUACCGCAUAACGUCGCAAGACCAAAGAGGGGGACCUUCGGGCCUCUUGCCAUCGGAUGUGCCCAGAUGGGAUUAGCUAGUAGGUGGGGUAACGGCUCACCUAGGCGACGAUCCCUAGCUGGUCUGAGAGGAUGACCAGCCACACUGGAACUGAGACACGGUCCAGACUCCUACGGGAGGCAGCAGUGGGGAAUAUUGCACAAUGGGCGCAAGCCUGAUGCAGCCAUGCCGCGUGUAUGAAGAAGGCCUUCGGGUUGUAAAGUACUUUCAGCGGGGAGGAAGGGAGUAAAGUUAAUACCUUGACUCAUUGACGUUACCCGCAGAAGAAGCACCGGCUAACUCCGUG
rnacentral:rRNA from 1 species